GACGAACGCUGGCGGCGUGCUUAACACAUGCAAGUCGAACGGAAAGGCCUGCUUUCCCUUGUGGCUUGCGGGUACUCGAGUGGCAAACGGGUGAGUAACCCGAGAGUGAUCUGCCCCCAACUUGGGAAUAAGCCUGGGCAACUGGGUCUAAUUACCGAUCGGCCUGCAGGGUGCUGCCUGUGGUGGAAGACGAUUUUCUAGUGGUUGGGGAUGAGCUCGCGGCCUAUCAGCUUGUUGGUGGGGUAGUGGCCUAACAAGGCGGCGACGGGUAGCCGGCCUGAGAGGGUGUACGGCGUCAGUGGGGCUGAGCUACGGCCCAGACUCCUACGGGAGGCAGCAGUGGGGACUAGUGGACGAUGGGCGGAAUCCUGAAGCAGCGACGCAGCGUGGGGGAUGCCGGCCUUCGUGUGGUAAGCACCUUUCGACCGCGAGGAAGCCACCUGGUUGGAAGGGUGGUGACGGUAGUGGUAGAAGAAGCACCGGCUAACUACGUG
rnacentral:rRNA from 1 species